rnacentral:rRNA from 1 species
UGGGGAAUAUUGCACAAUGGGCGCAAGCCUGAUGCAGCCAUGCCGCGUGUGUGAAGAAGGCCUUCGGGUUGUAAAGCACUUUCAGCGAGGAGGAAGGUGGUGAGCUUAAUACGCUCAUCAAUUGACGUUACUCGCAGAAGAAGCACCGGCUAACUCCGUGCCAGCAGCCGCGGUAAUACGGAGGGUGCAAGCGUUAAUCGGAAUUACUGGGCGUAAAGCGCACGCAGGCGGUUUGUUAAGUCAGAUGUGAAAAUCCCCGGGCUCAACCUGGGAACUGCAUUUGAAACUGGCAAGCUAGAGUCUCGUAGAGGGGGUAGAAUUCCAGGUGUAGCGGUGAAAUGCGUAGAGAUCUGGAGGAAUACCGGUGGCGAAGGCGGCCCCCUGGACGAAGACUGACGCUCAGGUGCGAAAGCGUGGGGAGCAAAACAGGAUUAGAUACCCUGGUAGUCCACGCUGUAAACGAUGUCGAUUUUGGAGGUUGUGCCCUUGAGGCGUGGCUUCCGGAGCUAACGCGUUAAAUCGACCGCCU